CCUACGGGAGGCAGCAGUGGGGAAUUUUGGACAAUGGGCGCAAGCCUGAUCCAGCAAUGCCGCGUGAGUGAAGAAGGCCUUCGGGUUGUAAAGCUCUUUUGUCAGGGAAGAAACGGUGGUUCCUAAUACGGACUACUAAUGACGGUACCUGAAGAAUAAGCACCGGCUAACUACGUGCCAGCAGCCGCGGUAAUACGUAGGGUGCAAGCGUUAAUCGGAAUUACUGGGCGUAAAGCGUGCGCAGGCGGUUAUAUAAGUCAGAUGUGAAAUCCCCGGGCUCAACCUGGGAACUGCAUUUGAGACUGUAUGGCUAGAGUGUGUCAGAGGGGGGUAGAAUUCCACGUGUAGCAGUGAAAUGCGUAGAUAUGUGGAGGAAUACCGAUGGCGAAGGCAGCCCCCUGGGAUAACACUGACGCUCAUGCACGAAAGCGUGGGGAGCAAACAGGAUUAGAUACCCUGGUAGUCCACGCCCUAAACGAUGUCUACUAGUUGUCGGGACUUAAUUGUCUUGGUAACGCAGCUAACGCGUGAAGUGACCGCCUGGGGAGUACGGUCGCAAGNUUAAAACUANAGUAGAGUGCGNGNGAGAGCGACGAGACACGAGGGAGGGAG
rnacentral:rRNA from 1 species